rnacentral:rRNA from 1 species
GACGAACGCUGGCGGCGUGCUUAACACAUGCAAGUCGAACGGAAAGGCCCUGCUUUUGUGGGGUGCUCGAGUGGCGAACGGGUGAGUAACACGUGAGUAACCUGCCCUUGACUUUGGGAUAACUUCAGGAAACUGGGGCUAAUACCGGAUAGGAGCUCCUGCCGCAUGGUGGGGGUUGGAAAGUUUCGGCGGUUGGGGAUGGACUCGCGGCUUAUCCGCUUGUUGGUGGGGUAGUGGCUUACCAAGGCUUUGACGGGUAGCCGGCCUGAGAGGGUGACCGGCCACAUUGGGACUGAGAUACGGCCCAGACUCCUACGGGAGGCAGCAGUGGGGAAUAUUGCACAAUGGGCGGAAGCCUGAUGCAGCAACGCCGCGUGCGGGAUGACGGCCUUCGGGUUGUAAACCGCUUUCGCCUGUGACGAAGCGUGAGUGACGGUAAUGGGUAAAGAAGCACCGGCUAACUACGUG